UACAGAGGGUGCAAGCGUUAAUCGGAAUUACUGGGCGUAAAGCGUGCGUAGACGGUUAUGUAAGUCAGAUGUGAAAGCCCCGGGCUUAACCUGGGAAUGGCAUUUGAGACUGCAUAGCUAGGGUGCGGAAGAGGGAAGCGGAAUUUCCGGUGUAGCGGUGAAAUGCGUAGAUAUCGGAAGGAACACCAGUGGCGAAAGCGGCUUCCUGGUCCAGCACCGACGUCAGGCACGAAAGCGUGGGGAGCAAACA
rnacentral:rRNA from 1 species